CGCGGCCGCGCGAGUCCUGGAAAGCGUUGUUGGCCGGGUUGCUCUGGUGCCGGGUCUCGGGUCUGGUGGCUGCCUGCCCUCCAACAUCUCGCCAUGGGGAGCACGGAGAGCAGCGAGGGCCGUAGGGUGUCCUUCGGAGUGGACGAGGAGGAGCGGGUCCGGGUGCUGCAGGGCGUCCGGCUGUCUGAAAACGUGGUGAACCGCAUGAAGGAGCCCAGCUCUCCACCCCCUGCUCCUGCACCUUCUACCUUUGGCCUUCAAGAUGGCAACUUGAGAGCCCCUCACAAAGAAUCCACACUGCCCAGGUCGGGGAGCACUGGUGGCCAGCAGCCCUCAGGGACGAAGGAGGGUGUCAAGAGGUAUGAACAGGAGCAUGGUGCUGUCCAGGAUAAGCUCUUCCAGGUGGCAAAGAGGGAAAGAGAGGCUGCCACCAAGCACUCCAAGGCAUCCCUGCCCACGGGCGAAGGCAGCAUCAGGCAUGAGGAGCAGAAGUCAGUCCGGCUGCAGGCCAGGGAGCUGGAGAGCAGAGAGGCAGAGCUAAGACGCCGUGACACCUUCUACAAGGAGCAGCUGGAGCGUAUUGAGAGGAAGAAUGCUGAGAUGUAUAAACUGUCUUCACAGCAAUUCCAUGAGGCAGCCUCAAAGAUGGAGAGCACAAUAAACUUCUUGCAAGGCCAGUGGCCCCUCCCUUUCUACCUGGAGCCAGGACCCACCUGCCAAGGAGAAGAUGCACUGGGGGAGAAGCCAGACAGCUUUCUGUUGAAUGUCUUGGAAUUUUCUAAAGGCAGAGUGGAGCUCAUGUGGCAGUGCAGAGAGCAAGAGCUAUGGAGCUGAGCACACUCCACUCUUCCUAUUGUGGCCCCUCUCACUGCUGUGUGACUGUGGGCCAGUCACGUGAGCUGCCUGUGACUUACCAACCCCGCCUGCAGAACAGGGCGGGAAGGCCCAGCUCACAGGGUCGUUGUGAACCUAGAACACGGGAAGCCCUGACAGGCAGAAGUUCCCAAGACCACAGACAUCCAGAUCCACUCUCAAAUGAGGCCGAAUUUUCUGCCUGUGCUGUUGACCAUCAGCUCCCCUCCCACAGCCUGAUCCUCAUCCCAGAUCUCUCCCAGUGCAGAAGACUUCCUGGGCAGCACCUGGAAGCAGCUUUAGGAACCUGCUCAUAAGCUACGGCUCCUCCCCUUUUCCAUUACGUGGGUUAAGUUCUCAGGAACCCCUGGACCCCUCAACCUGACCAGGUUGUCUUCUUCUGAUAACAAUUUGUGACAGGCACCCUCUCCAAAAUGACUUAAUCCAAAAGUGGAACAUAUAGGUUUGUGCUACAGGAAAGCUAAAAAUAGUACCUGGCUUCGAAUUGAAGAACUCAUUUGGUGUUUGGGUCUGUUUCCUUUUGGACAGUGGGCCGUGGAGUUUGGAAGCCCAGUUUUAUGUUCUCCGUGGAAGAUCACGGUUUCACCCCAUACCUUUCACUGGGCCCAUGAAUGGGUUCGUACUAGCCCAGGCUGGCUCAUACAGGCCAAACCCAUGCUACCCAGGCCAGGAGGGGAGACCUGAGAAAUAAAGGGGUGUCUCUGCCUUACCUGAGAGUCCUGCUGUGUGAAGUCAGUGCAUUAAUAGACAGCAGUGGCACAGCUCCUGCCUUGUAGCACUGCCAGGUCCAGUGUUUCCUUCCCUCCAAUGCUCCUGCUUGGCAGAGUCUCAGAUACAGCCAGUUGUGUGCUUUGAACCAGCAGGCUGUACUGCUGACUCUGAGCCAAGGAGAACAGAAGGGACAACCUGACCCUGCCCAACAGUCUGCAGUUCCUAUCUAGGCACAAACAGGCAGCACUUCAUAACCCAGUGGUGGCCCUGGACCCUGGAGGUUUGUGCAGUCAUGGACAGCUACACGGUCGCCUGCCAUGGACGAAAGGGAAGGCUGCACAGACACCUACUGUGGACGGAAGGGAAGGCUGCACAGAGGUCUGCUGUGGACAGAAGGGAAGGCUGCACGGACUCCUGCCAUGGACGGAAGGGAAGGCUGCACAGAGGUCUGCCAUGGACGGAAGGGAAGGCUGCACAGACUCCUGCCGUGGACGGAAGGGAAGGCUGCACAGACUCCUGCCAUGGACGGAAGGGAAGGCUGCACAGACUCCUGCCAUGGAUGGAAGGGAAGGCUGCACAGAGGUCUGCUGUGGACAGAAGGGAAGGCUUCACGGACUCCUGCCAUGGACGGAAGGGAAGGCUGCACGGACUCCUGCCAUGGAUGGAAGGGAAGGCUGCACAGAGCCUUAUCACUAAUGGGAAGGAAAGGCUGCAUAGAGGCUUGCUUGGAUAGAAGGGAAGGGUGCAGAUUGUCUUGGAUAUGGAGGGAAGGCUGCACACAGAAUUCUCAUGGAUGGAAGGAAAGCUGCACAGAGGAAUGUUUAUGACGAGAAAGGAAGAAUGCAGAGCUUUGCCGUAGAUGGGAAGGAAGGAUGCACAGAAGCUUUUUUGAUGAGAAGAAAAGGCUGCACAAAACCUUUUCAUGGAUGGAAGUGAACGCUGCACAGAUGUCUUGUCAUAGAAGGAAGGGAAAUCUUCAGAGACACUUGUCAAGGAGGAAGGGAGGGCUGCACAGUGGCUUGUUGUGUUAUGAAUGGGAAGGAAGACUGCACAGAGGCUUGCCAUGGGUGUGAAGGGAAGUCUCCACACAAAAUUCUCCUUCCUGCACAGAUGAUGGGAAAAGAAGGGCGCACAGAGGAUUGUCAUGGAUGGAAGUGAGCACUGCACCAAGUUUUGUCAUUGAGGGAAGGGAAGGCUUCAGAGAGGCUUUCUGUGCAUGGAAGAAAAAGUUGUAUGCAGGGUAGUCAGAGACAGAGAUAAAGGCUGCACAGAGGCCUCCCAUAGAGGGAAGUGUAGUUUACAGGGGUUGUCCUACAAGAAGGAAGGUCUGCAGAGAAGCUUAUCGUGGAUCGGCAGGAAGGCUGCACACUAGAAUGUCUAUGAAGGGAAUGGAAGACUGCAAUGAAAAUUGUCAUGGAUGGAAGGGAAUGCUACAGAGAGACUUUUUAUUUUGAGACAAAGUCUCGCUCUAUCUCUCAGGCUGGAAGUGGAGUGGCAUGCUCUCUGCUCACUGCAACAUCCGCCUCCUGGGUGCAAGUGAUUCUCCUGCCUCAGCCUCCCAAGUAACUGGGAUUACAGGCCCUCACCACCAUGCCUGGCUAAUUUGUGUAUUUUUAGUAGAGAUGGGGUUUCACCAUGUUGGCCAGGUGGUUCUCGAACUCCUGACCUCAAGUGAUCGCCUGCUUCGGCCUCCCAAAGUGCUAGGAUUACAGGCAUGAGCCAUUGCGCCUGGCCUGCACAGAAUUUUCAUGGAUGGGAAAGAAAGGCUGCACAGAGGAAUGGCUAUAAUGUGAAGGAGAGGGUGUUCAGAAGCUUGUCGUGGGUGGGAUGAGGCAGCUGCACAGAGCCGUACCAUUGUUGGGAAGGGAAUGAUGCAGAAAGCAUUGUUGUUGAUGGGAAGGAAAGGUUGUAUGGAUUCUUGUUAUGGACUGAAGGUUGCAUAUGUCAUAGAUGGGAAGCGAAGGUUGCACGGAAGCUUGUCAUGGAUGAAAUUGAUAUGGUUUGGCUCUGUUUCCCCACCUAAAUCUCAUUUAAAUUGUAAUUCCCACGUGUCAAGGAAAGAAGGUAGUUGGAUUGUGGGGGUGGUUUCCCCCAGGCUGUUCUCAUGAUGGUGAAUUCUCAUGAGACCUGAUGAUUUUAUAAGGUGCUCUUCCCCCUUUGCCUCUCUGUCUCACCUGCCGCCAUGUAAGAUGUACCUGAUUCCCCCUCCACUAUGAUUGUUAGUUUCCUGAAGCCUCACAAGCAAUGCAAAACUAUAAGUCAAUUAAACCUCUUUUCUUUAUAAAUUACCCAAUCUCAGGCAGUUAUUUAUAGGAGUGUGAAAACAGACUAAUACAAAAAAAUGAAUACUUCACAGAAUGCUGUCAUGUAACUAAGGGAAGACUUCAUAGAAGCUUUCCAUGGAUGGAAGGAAAAGUUGCAAAGAAGCUUUGCGUGGAUUGGAAGGGAGGUUGCUCAGAGGCACGUCAUGAGUGGAAAGGGAAGGGUACAGAGGUUAUGGAUGAAAAGGAAGGUUGCACCAAAACUUAUGGAUAGUGGACCAAGACCAGAGAGAAGGAAGAGGGAGGGAGGAUCUCCUGGGUCUCCUAGCUAGUUAUGGGUUCUUCACCAAGUGCAGUGUAUUCUGCCUGAGGAGAAGUGGGAAUGAGACCAGGGGCCAGUCGGCC